UGAGUAACACGUGGGCAAUCUGCCCUGCACUUCGGGAUAAGCCUGGGAAACUGGGUCUAAUACCGGAUAGGACCUUUAGGCGCAUGCCUUUUGGUGGAAAGCUUUUGCGGUGUGGGAUGGGCCCGCGGCCUAUCAGCUUGUUGGUGGGGUGAUGGCCUACCAAGGCGACGACGGGUAGCCGGCCUGAGAGGGUGUCCGGCCACACUGGGACUGAGAUACGGCCCAGACUCCUACGGGAGGCAGCAGUGGGGAAUAUUGCACAAUGGGCGCAAGCCUGAUGCAGCGACGCCGCGUGGGGGAUGACGGCCUUCGGGUUGUAAACCUCUUUCACCAUCGACGAAGGUCCGGGUUUUCUCGGAUUGACGGUAGGUGGAGAAGAAGCACCGGCCAACUACGUGCCAGCAGCCGCGGUAAUACGUAGGGUGCGAGCGUUGUCCGGAAUUACUGGGCGUAAAGAGCUCGUAGGUGGUUUGUCGCGUUGUUCGUGAAAUCUCACGGCUUAACUGUGAGCGUGCGGGCGAUACGGGCAGACUAGAGUACUGCAGGGGAGACUGGAAUUCCUGGUGUAGCGGUGGAAUGCGCAGAUAUCAGGAGGAACACCGGUGGCGAAGGCGGGUCUCUGGGCAGUAACUGACGCUGAGGAGCGAAAGCGUGGGGAGCGAACAAGGAUUAGAUACCCUGGUAGUCCACGCCCGUAAACGGUGGGUACUAAGGUGUGGGGUUUCCUUCCUUGGGAUCCCGUGCCGUANCUAACGCAUUUAAGUACCCCCGCCUGGGGGGAGUACGGCCGCAAGGCNUAAAACUCAAAAGGAAUUUGANCGGGGGGCCCCGCACAA
rnacentral:rRNA from 1 species